UACGGAGGGGACUAGCGUUGUUCGGAAUUACUGGGCGUAAAGCGCACGUAGGCGGAUUUGUAAGUCAGGGGUGAAAUCCCGGGGCUCAACCUCGGAACUGCCUUUGAUACUGCAAAUCUCGAGUCCGGAAGAGGUGAGUGGAAUUCCUAGUGUAGAGGUGAAAUUCGUAGAUAUUAGGAAGAACACCAGUGGCGAAGGCGGCUCACUGGUCCGGUACUGACGCUGAGGUGCGAAAGCGUGGG
rnacentral:rRNA from 1 species